GGAAGAAACACAAAAGAAUUGGGUACUCUGUUGGGUACCUUUUCAAUAGCGAAAACUGCCAAUUCUGUAAAAAUUGGUCCCAUAGAAUGGUAUAAAUUGCUUGCCAAUAAAGGCCAAUUCAACAUUGUCGUAAUGUGUGAAGUCUUGCUUGAGAAUGCUUCGGGCACCUGGCUGUAGAAGGAAGAAUAGAAAUUGCGAUAACAAAAUCCUAAAUAGAAUACUAACAAUGCUCUAAUUAGACUAUAAUAAUGAUAAACAAACGUGAUCAAAUUCAAAAAAAUUCAAAGAAAUUUCAAAAAAAUAAUAAAAUUCUUAAAGAAAUAUUAGAAUCAUCACAAAUUUUACUCAAAUAUAUGUCAAUUCAACCUUAAUUUAAUUCUAGUUAAAACCCUAUUGAAUUUCACUCAACUUUAGACCAAACCUAAUUAAAUCUUAAACCCUAAUAAUUCCUAUACCCUAAGUCAAAUCCUAAACAAAUCUUAAAUUAAACCCUAUUCCAAAUUCUAAACCCUAAACCAAAUCCUAAAUUAAAUCCUAAACCAAACCUUAAUCCAACCUUAAACCCUAAACCAAAUCUUAAAUCAAAUCCUAACCAGAUCCUAAUCCAAACCCUAAAUCAAACCCUAACCAAACCCUAAAGUCUAAUCCAAAUCCUAAUCCAAACCCUAAUCCAACCUUAAACUCUAAUCCAAAUCCUAAACCCUAAACCAAACCUUAAAUCAAACCCUAACCAAAUUCUAGUCCAAACUCUAAUUCAAAUCCUAAAUCAAACCCUAACCAAACCCUAAACUCUAAUCCAAACUCUAAUUCAACCCUAAACUCUAAUCCAAAUCCUAAACCCUAAACCAAACCUUAAAUCAAACUAUGUCACGGCCAUAAUCAUGUAAGCUAAUAAUUACAUAUAGAAAUAGGUAGAAGUAAGUAAAAGUAGAUAAAAGUAAGUUAAUUCUAUAAUAUUUAAUAUAGAAGCUUCCUAGAAACUUCCUAGAUGCUGCUUUGACUUCAUAGGUGUCUUUAAUUGACUUUUUGGAUUAGAAACGUGGUCAACAAGUUGGCCAUGUGCCACACAUGUUGUUAGCUUGAAGAUCAAGCUAACUGUGUGGCCCACACGUAGAAAAACUUGCCUUGUAAGUCAAGGCAUGUGUCCUAUAAAGUCAACACAUAUUGGAGGUCCUAUAGAACGUCGCCACGUAGCCCCUAGUUAGAUAGUAUAUAUAGAGACAAGAGUGAAGGCUUCUUCACUCUUGUCAACUCCUUUCUUGCUCCUAGUCUAGGUUCAAGAGUCUUUAGUUUCUUGUCUUGUGGCAAUAGCCAUUCCAGUUUCCUUUUAAUAUACAUACUUGUUUAUAUUUUGACUUAUUAUAUCGAGAUAGCCUUUUUGUGUAUAUUUUCUCUCAUCGAGUCUUUGUCCUUAACCGAUUGACAAGAGUACACUUACAAUAUCAGAGCUUUGUUUUUCUUGAGUGAGAGUGGAUUACCCCUUUCUCUUGACAAGUUAUAAGCGUAUUAGAAGUUUGCGGAUUACCCACUUCUAAACUGAUAUUGUUCUUAGUAUCUUCUUUGUUAUCAAGUCUUUCUUUUCUUUUGUCUUGAGCAGUAUCAAACAAAUUUUUCUUAGUGUCAUUAUGGUAGAGCUUGUUGAAAUGAAGAGUGCAAUGGCACAAAUGCAAGAGCAAAUGAGGGAGUUAAUGCUUGCGAUGCAUCAACUCAAUUCACCAACACAAGAAAGAACAAGAAUAGCAGAAAGUGGGGAUAUAGAGAUGAUCGGAGCUGCUUCAACAUCUAUAACAAAUCACGUUCCUUCUCCAAUUGUACAACACCCUGUAAGCACUAGAGAACCAAGAAUUGCCUUACCCAAGAAAUUUGAUGGUACGAGAUCUAAGUUUCGAGGGUUCAUCAAUCAAGUACAAUUGGCAAUUGAACUUCAACCGCAAAGCUAUCCAACUCCAGGAUCACAAGUCAGGUUUAUUGGCACUCUACUUUCUGGUUCUGCAUUAUCAUGGUUUUCGUCUUUUCUUGAACAACGAAAUCCAAUAUUGGACAAUUUGGAAGCUUUUUUGGUGGAGUUUCGAUCUAUGUAUGGUGAACACGAUGCAACUCAUGUUGCAACAAAUAAGAUCCGAAUUCUGCGACAAAGAAAUCGCUCAGUAACAGUGUAUGCUUCACAAUUUCGACAACUUGCAAUUGACAUCAAGUGGGAUGAUGCUGCACUCAUUAGUCAAUUUCUUUAUGGAUAGCAAUACGAAGUAAAGAAAUUGAUGCUCAACUUACCUAAUCCUCAAACUUUGAGUAUAGCAAUCGAUUUUGCGGUAAAAUGUGAUAAUCGACUUUUCGAAUUUCGAUCUGAGAAUCAUUCACGGGAACCUCAACGUUAUUACUCAAUGGCAACAUCAACAUCUUUGCCAAACGUACAUUCGAAAGUAGAAGACAUGUAAAUUGACGCGGUACGUUGUCGUAUUACGUGCUUUCCUGCUCGAGAACGUGCCGGGCAUCUGGCUGUAGAAGGUAGUAUGGAGAUUCACCGAUAGUCAAGCAGUCUAUCAGUUUUUGAUUGCUGGAAUAUAAACGAUUGCAACAAUGUACCGUUAUCAUAUAACGUGCUUUCUUGCUCGAAAACGCGUCGGGCGUCUGGCUGUAGAAGGUAGUAUGGAGAUUCACCGAUAGUCAAGCAGUCUAUCAGUUUUUGACUGCUGGAAUAUAAACGACUGCAACAAUGUACCGUAAAUCUACACGAGUGCUCAUCGACUGCUUGUCGAAGUCCUUUUUGCCCCAGCCGAUAGGUCUCUAGACGUUACAGAGAACCCCGUACAACCCAAACUGUUAACCUUCAAUACUCCUUUGUACUUACGAUCUUGUAUCCACUGACUGUCUUAUUAGAUUAAUCCAAUAAAUUUCAUUCACUCCGCAUACUCAAUCCUAUAGACACCCUUUUAAUCCUUCAAUCACAGACGUAACUCGAUUUCACAAAACAGUCAAGAGUAUUCAAACCCACUUCAUUUAAGAAUCCCGAUUCACGAUUACAACACUGACUUCAGCAGCGAUUGCCUCAGUCUUCCCCAAAACUCUACGAAGAAGAAAAAUCCAAAUUCUAUGUCUUUCCUUCCCCGACCCGAAGCAUGAAGCUCCUCUCUCUAAUUCCCUUGAUCUUCAAAAACCUCCAAUGAAAACCGAAAUGGUAACCUUGCCGAAGCUUGAAAACUCGCUCCCCCCCCCGAUUUCUCUCAAAAAAAACCCACUCCCAAAACUAUCUCCCACCUAACCUUAUCCUCUGAAUUUCUUCAAUCUUUCGUCUUAGAUCCGGAAUUGGCUCCCACCUCAAGCUUGGAUCCGAAAUUGGCUCUCGCCGUCAAGCUUUCUCCUCCGUUUUUGCCUUUAAGAAAUCCAUUUACCGAAAACAAUGUUCCCUGAGACGGCACAGAGAACAGGACAGCCUGAAACAGAAUCGAACCUCGUAAUCGGGACCACAUUGAGUCGCUCGAUCAAUUCAGGUCCUAUAUUGGGAAAGAUGCCCGUAGUAACCUGGAUGUUCCCGUAAUUGGGUCAAAUUGGUCCUCGCGUCAGAUUGGCUAAGACCCGUAGUAAGACCUGGAUUUCCCGUAAUUAGACUGCACUGGGUUGACCGGCCAAUUCAGGUCUCAUAUUGGAUAAGAGGACCCGGAUUGGAUUAUCGAAAUUGGAUCCAAUUGGCUCCUCGAACCCGUCUUGUGAAUUGGUCCUUCUCUUCCUGCUGACUCCCAUUAUUGGAAUCGAAUGGAGCAUUUCAGUAUGCCUCGGCUGACUGUAUCGGAGUGACUGAACCUGACCACUCAGUAUUUGUACUGGAGUUGGUCGAUGCUCCCAAUAUUCGAGAUAACUGAAUAUUAAUAAAAUUCCCCUUUCUUUUUAUUUUCACUGUAUACUCGUGUUACAACACGACAUCCACCCCCUCUGAACCUGUGCAUCUUCCGGUAUGCACCAAUUUACCCAAUUGCUGUUUGAUUCAGAAUAUAUCCCCUACGUCUUUGUCCAGUUCGUCGUCAUCACCUUCAUUAUCCAUAUCACUUUCAUCUUCUUGCUGCGGAAUCUCUGUACCUUCAUUAAGGUCUUCCAUAUUCAUCUCCGCCUGUCUUUGUUUAAAUAUUUUUAUUCGCUUCCCUGCAAUUGGUAUUUUCAAUUUUGUACCAUCUAACUCCCGUAAUGAGUAAGUCGCAUUAUCAUGAACAGUUGUUACAACAUAUGGUCCAAACCAACGUUUUAAAAAUUUCCGCAAAGUACUAUGUUGAUUAUCCAGACUAUUGUCAUAAACAAGUACCCAGUCACCUUCCUCGAUUGCUUUUGGUCUCAAUCGAUGUUGCUUAUCGAAUCGCGCCUUGUUUUGUAACCUUGCUCUUUUUAACCUUUCCAAUGCUAUCUGGACAUCUUCCGUUCUUUGCUCCAAUUGUCGAAUCCUAAUAGCCAGAAGUUCUUCUCUUGUCAAUCCAUCUUUUCAUGGUAGCAUACUCCAAGUAAGUACCUUUUCUUCAAUCUGCAUAAUUGGUUUUCGACCUGUCAUAAGUUCUACUAGCAUAUAUCCUGUCACCGAACUAUGUGUUGUUCGAUCAGCCCAUAAUGCAAAUGACAAAAGCCGUGGCCACUCUUUAACCUUCCCAUUACAAGCUUUAAUUAAUGCUUUCACAAUCGGUGGGUGACCACAUUUGCUUUUUGCAUUCCCUUCCGGAUUAUAAGCAGUAGUCAGUGAUAGUUUAACUCUACAUCUUUCAAAGAACUUACGAGCUUCUUGUGCAUUUAAUUCUCCACGAUCUGCAGUGAUUUUUCUUAUGCACCCGUAACGGCAAAUGACAUCUUCAAGCAAAAACCUCCAAAUCCCCUCUGUAGAUUUUGUCCUCAAUGCUCUUCCUUCUACUUGAUUUGAUAAAUCUUUACAAGCUAAAACCAAAUAUCUCAUCUGCCAUAACCCAACUGGCAUAAUAAUCAAAUCAACAACCCAUUUAAAAUGAAUAGCCAGAGGAUACGUAGGAUGAAGACCAUCUCGAUGUCGGAUAUUAGAAUACGAUUGACAAAUUUCACAUGACUCUACAAAUGAGAGCACAUCUCGAUACAUAUUUUUCCACCAAUAUCGUUCCUUGAGUUUAGCAAAAGUAGCCCAGAUUCCUCUAUGCCCUGCCCAUAAACUAUCAUGAAACUCCUUUAAUAAUUUUAGUUUUUCUUCCCUUUUGCCUAUCACUCGUUGUGGCAUCCCAAUUCCUUUCUUCGGUCUCUUCCAUAAGAAUCCAUCUCGAAGUAAAAAUCCAUAUGCUUUUUUUCUUAUUUGUUUGAAUUUUUCUGUAGACCAAUUCCCUUGCUUAGACAAGGUAUUCAAAUAAUGACCAAUAUCCAAUAAUUCUCCUUCAUAAGAUUCUUCAAGAAAUAGCUUGUCUUCUCUGUUGAGAUUUGAUAUUGAAUAGAAUUUCAAUCCGACAUCAUCAAUGUCUUCAACCAUUUCGUCCUCCCUCUCGUAUCUUGCUCGAGAUAGCAUGUCUGCUACUAAAUUGUCUUUUCCAGUGAUAUGCUUAAAUUCUGGAUUUAGUGACUUAAUAUAAGCAAUCCAUCUCAACAUUGCAAUAUCUGGCGUUGAAUAGUUAAUAAUCAUUCCAAGCAAUGGCAAGCAAUCUGUUUCAAUUACUACUACUGCCCCAAUCAAAUAGUCCUUUUCAGCUUUCAUAGCCGAAACGACUCCCCAAAGUUCUCUUUUGACUUGCGAAUAUGCACGCUGAUAAAUACUUAAAACUUUAGCCCCAAAUCGAACUGCAAAUCUACUCCCAUUCGAAUCAUCUUGACCCACCGUCCAUCCAACGGCAAUUGGACUAGCGUCUACAGUAAGAAUCACUGGUCUAUUGCACUUAUAAUCAACCUUCCUCAAUAUUGGAGGUGACAUCAAAAAUUUCUUCAAUCUUUGCAUUGCCUGAAUAUGCCUUUCUUCCCAUUCAAAUCGGUAACCCUUGCGUAACAGUUCAUAUAAUGGAUCCGCUAUGUGAGCAAAAUGAGGGAUCCAGAUUCGAUAAAAUACACAUGCACCCAAAAACCUGCGAACCUCUGUUAAAGAACCACAAUCCUCUUUCAUCCUUCCAAUUGCAUCAACUUUAGUCGGAUCUGGUUUUCUUCCGUAAGAUCCGCAUAAAUGUCCAACAAUUACAACCUCUCGCACUCCAAAUACGGACUUCAUACCCGAUAAUGUAAGAUGAACUUCUCCAAGCCGAGUUAAAAUCUUUUCACAAUCUUGUAUAUGAUCAACAACAUAUCUGCGACAUCCCCUCGUAUCUAAAGUUUCAUCCUUGUCUCCUUCUCUGCACCCUUUUAUAGGAACAUCAUCCAAAAAAGGCAUAGUCUUUUCCGGAAUAAAAUCUCUCAAUACCUUAUUCAUCCCAUUCAUCAUAUGCGCAACUGAGUUGGUCGCGCCUUAAGAAAGAGUGCACAUUCUAACCAAUCCAAGCGGUGUUCUCAUCGUUGUCAUAUCUCUACUUCCUUCGGCAAGUUGAAAUUGAUCAUAACCUGAAUACAAAUCACCCAUUGAAUAGAUCGCCCUUCCAACAAACGCCUCAACAAAUUCAUCCACAAUAGGUCCAAUUCUUGCAUUCCUGACAGUUAAAGCCUUCACCGGCUGCAUAUCUUGAAUAAACCGUAGUGACCCAUUCUUCUUAGGUACCGUAAACCAUCGACUAGAAUACGGCGCAAAUGAAGGUUCUAAUAUUUUCAUCUUUAUCUUUUCUUUCAAUAGUUCCACCAAUUUAGGUAAAUGUGCCCUCGGUACUGGAAUCGGUCUUAGAUUCCAAGGUACAUGCGGUACAGUGAAGAUAACUAUAGGUGUUAUAAUAUUUGGAUCCACACACCCAAUUUCAUGAGAUUCGAAGGCAAACGAUCUACCUUGUUUAGCCCACAUCUUUUUGAAGCAAGUAAUUUCCUUCGGCAAUAAAGAACCAUCAGAACCAAUCUUCAAUUCUUCAAAAGUCUCUUCAAUAAACUGAUGUCCAAUACUCAUUGGAUCUCUUAAACUUGCUUCUUUUGAUGCUUCUCCCAUUUGUUCUUUAGAAUCCUCUGGUAAUGGUCCGGCAACAGGCUUUACCUUCUUAUCUGCCGUUUUAUAUCUCGUCUCUACUGUGACUUCUGGUGCUUGAAAAGAUUCAAGCAUGGUAUAAACCUCUCUCAAAUGAAUCUCAACAAUCUUAUCAUUAUCCCCUAACCUAAUAGAUGUAAUCAAUUCCAAUGAAUCUUCCAGUCCAUUUUCUUCAUAAACACCCAAAAUCCUCUCAUCAUCUUACAAUGUACCUAUCUUGCGUAACUGUCCUUCAAUAUCAUAUAAUCUUUUUCUUUCUUUUCUUUUAAAAUCAUCAACUUUCUUAUACAUAAUAUUUCCAUUCUCCAAUAUACCAAUAAAACUCGCAUCAAAGGCACCUUCAUCUCGCGAGAGUACCUCCUCUUUUGUACCUCCAUAAUCUCGCUUUACAGUGGUACCUCCCCAAAAUCCUUAAAUCCUUCAACAAUCUUUGGCAAUGGUUUCUCCCUCAACCUAUCUCGAUUCCGUUCAUGGUUAGGAGGUACUGUUAGAAAUUGUACAGCUUUCCUCCCAUCUCCGCUCCGUACCCUUGCAUAAGCAGAACCAUCGUCAAGUACCUUUGUUUCCAUCCGUGUUGCCAUGAUAUAAGGUUGUCCUAAAAUCAACGGAUAAGACAUUGUAUCUUGAACGAAGAAAUGUUGCUCCGUCGCAACAUCCCCAAUCCGAAUUUUCACAUCUGGACAAGCUCCAUAUAAUUCGCCUCGUGUGUUAUUAGCUGCUCGUAUUGCCCAUCCAUGUUCCAUAUCAAUUGGCCAUUUUUGCUUCUUAUAAAGAUCUUUAGACAUGAGAUUUAUUUCAGAACCAUGGUCCACCAAAGCAACUAUUGGUUCUUCUAUAUCUCCUACCUUCACCAACACCUCAGUAGUUGCCCUUGCCCAAUGCUUUCGAGUAUAAUGGCUCAAAGUUUCCAUUUCCUUGUCACUAGAAUCUUCGAAACGUACUCGCUGAUUAUAUCCAUUCUUUUCAUUUGUUGGUUGCUUGUAACCAAUAUCAACCUCUUCUUCAUCUCUACAUAUUCUUGCAUCAAUAGCAUGACUCAUUCCAGUUUCGCUCAUUAAUUGCCUCUUUCGCUUAAUGCUGUCAAUGAUAACAUCAUGAAACUCCUUCUUUGCAAUUUCCAAGACUUCUUUCAAUGUGAAUUCCACCUUAGCGUUUAAUAUACGUUCAUCCAACACCCCUUUCAAAUUUGUUGCCGCUUCAAUGUCAGAAAGUAGCUUAUAAGCAAUUGAUUUGCCCUUAUCUUUUGUCUCCGUUGUUUUUUCUCCCAAUGAUGCUGAGGUAUCCUUUACAAGCAGUUCUUGUGAAGCUGCCUCCCGAGCCUUGUCUCCUCGAGUUUGCCUCUUAAAAGAAUUUCCUUCUCUAGUAUCAUCAAAAUUUCCUCAUCUUUUUUCUUCCAUCAAAGCUUCAUGUUGGCUCUUAGCAAUAUAUGCAUGAACUGAAAGAGACUCAAUAGGAUCCUCCCAACCUGUACUUCCUUGUAUUGUAGCUGCAGUUCUCAAUAACGCUUCUCGAGGUAAUUUCCCUUCUUACAUUGUAGAAACGGCAGAAGCCCAAAACUCACUAGUUUCCGUACUUCCACCAAUUGCAUCAUCUACUCUAGCACCAUAACUUGCACUUUCUCGUACUACUGUUUCAUGGUCUUUUAAGUAAUCUUGAACCAAUGCUUUCAUUCCUCCCUUGCCAAAAUUGGUUUGAAGAAGAUCCUCCCUAUCUUUCAAUGCUAUCUUUCCAUCUUUCCAGCAAAUAAUUCCCUGCCGUAUCAUAUUAUUAAAUUCAUUGCAAUCUUUUCUAAUGUGCGAAGCAUCAUCACACCAAAUGCAUCUUUGUACAUACCCUUGUUUUGAAACAUUCUUCGAAUUAUUUAUAGAAGUAUUCUCUUCAAGUCUUGCCAAUUUGAUUUGAAGAUCUCGCAUUCCUCGUAUAAUUUCUUCCAUACCCAUAUCUGCUUUCUUUGACAAGGAUGUCGAAGGUUGAACUAUAGGCAUUGUCGGUGGUGUUGUACGUAUUGGAGCUUUGGGUGCUUGUACUGUUUUCGGAAUAUUGCUCCUAUCCUUCCUCCUCUCUUUUUUUGUAAGCAACCCCACCGCAUCUUCAACGUUCUUCGACUUCGUUGUCAAUCCUUCAUUUACUUCUUUGUCUUCAAGAAGGGGUUUUAAUUUCUCUUGCAAUUCUCCAUCAGCAGCUUGAAGAAAUAGAUCAACUUUAUUCGGCUCCAAUGUCAAUUUUUCUACCUUCGAUAAUUGAGAGUACUGCCUCUCAAAUUCCCUUAGUAGCUCUGUUGCUUGUAAAUUCUUAUUGGGCCGUUCAAUCCAUCCCAGAAACAGCUUCUUAGUAACGCGAUCAGCAUCUUCCAAGAAAUAUUUGUCUUUCAAUGCAUGUGAAAAAUCCUCCCAUGAAUUCCCACAACGAUCCGUAAUCGAUGUAAUGUGGUCCCUUAUCUCCGAUAUCGUGGCAAGUCCAAAUAGUGCAACCAUUUUCUUCUCAGAAACCCGAUUUAAUUCCAUUUCACGAACAUAACAUCUUAAAUACCUUGAAAUAUUCCUCCCAUCAAAUUGAUCAAUUUUAUUGACCACUGCUUGCAAUGCUUUGGUUGCCAAAGCUUCCUUUCGAUCAUUGCUUUGUUGUUGCUGCAUUGACGAUGAGAAGGCUUGAAACAAACUAGCAAUAGACGGAUCCAUGUGCAUACCUUGUCCUUUAGAAGACUCCCCACCAGAAAUUUCUCCCAAAAAUCCUUCAAAAUUUUUAUUUUCGUUUUCCAUAAAAAUAAAGAUAAAAUCAACCGAAAUCCAAUACCUUCUACCUCAAGCUUUCACGUCGGGUUCACCACUUAUGUCGUAUUACGUGCUUUCCUGCUCAAGAACGCGCCGGAUGUCUGGCUAUAGAAGGUAGUAUGGAGAUUUGCCGAUAGUCAAGCAGUCUAUCAGUUUUUGACUGCUGGAAUAUAAACGACUGCAACAAUGUACCGUAAAUCUAUACGGGUGCUCUUCGACUGCUUGUCGAAGUCCUUUUUGCCCCAGCCGGUAGGUCUCUAGACGUUACAGAGAACCCCGUACAACCCAAACUGUUAACCUUCAAUACUGCUUUGUACUUAUGAUCUUGUAUCCAUUGACUGUCUUGUUAGAUUAACCCAAUAAAUUUCAUUCACUCCGCAUACUCAAUCCUAUAGACACUCUUUUAAUCCUUCAAUCACAGACGUAAUUCGAUUUCACAAAACAGUCAAGAGUAUUCAAACCCACUUCAUUUAAAAAUCCCGAUUCACGAUUACAACACUGACUUCAGCAGCGAUUGCCUCAGUCUUCCCCAAAACUCUACGAAGAAGAAAAAUCCAAAUUCUAUGUCUUUCCUUCCCCGACCCGAAGCAUGAAGCUCCUCUCUCUAAUUCCCUUGAUCUUCAAAAACCUCCAAUGAAAACCGAAAUGGUAACCUUGCCGAAGCUUGAAAACUCGCUCCCCCCCCCGAUUUCUCUCAAAAAAAACCCACUCCCAAAACUAUCUCCCACCUAACCUUAUCCUCUGAAUUUCUUCAAUCUUUCGUCUUAGAUCCGGAAUUGGCUCCCACCUCAAGCUUGGAUCCGAAAUUGGCUCUCGCCGUCAAGCUUUCUCCUCCGUUUUUGCCUUUAAGAAAUCCAUUUACCGAAAACAAUGUUCCCUGAGACGGCACAGAGAACAGGACAGCCUGAAACAGAAUCGAACCUCGUAAUCGGGACCACAUUGAGUCGCUCGAUCAAUUCAGGUCCUAUAUUGGGAAAGAUGCCCGUAGUAACCUGGAUGUUCCCGUAAUUGGGUCAAAUUGGUCCUCGCGUCAGAUUGGCUAAGACCCGUAGUAAGACCUGGAUUUCCCGUAAUUAGACUGCAUUUUAUUAAUAUUCAGUUAUCUCGAAUAUUGGGAGCAUCGACCAACUCCAGUACAAAUACUGAGUGGUCAGGUUCAGUGACUCCGUUACAGUCAGCCGGGGCAUACUGGAAUGCCCCGUUCGAUUCCAAUAACGGGAGUCAGUAGGAAGAGAAGGACCAAUUCACACGACGGGUUCGAGGAGCCAAUGGGAUCCAAUUUCGAGAAUCCAAUCCGGGUCCUCUUACCCAAUAUGAGACCUGUAUUGGUGGGGCAACCCAAUGCAGUCUAGUUACGGGAAAUCCAGGUCUUACUACAGGUCUUAGCUAAUUUGACGCGAGGACCAAUUUGACCCAAUUAUGGGAACAUCCAGGUUACUACGGGCAUCUUUCCCAAUAUAGGACCUGAAUUGGUUGGGCGACUCAAUGUGGUCCCGAUUACGGGGUUCCAUUCUGUUUCAGGCUGUCCUGUUCUCUGUGCCGUCUCAGGGAACGUUGUUUUCGGUAAAUGGAUUUCUUAAAGGUAAAAACGGAGGAGAAAGCUUGAGGUGGGAGCCAAUUUCGGAUCCAAGCUUGAGGUGGGAGCCAAUUUUGGAUCUAAGACGGAAGAUUGAAGAAAUUCAGAGGAUAAGGUUAGGGGGGAUAUAGUUUUGGAGUGGUGUGGAUUUCUAUUUUGGGGGGAUGGAAGGUUUUUGAAGAUCAAGGGAAUUAGAGAGAGGAGCUUCAUGCUUCGGGUCGGGGAAGGAAAGACAUAGGAUUUGGAUUUUUCUUCUUCGUAGAGUUUUGGGAAAGACUGAGGCAAUCACUGCUGAAGUCAGUGUUGUAAUGGUGAAUCGGGAUUUUUAAAUGAAGUGGGUUUGAAUACUCUUGACUGUUUUGUGAAAUCGAGUUACGUCUGUGAUUGAAGGAUUAAAAGGGUGUCUAUAGGAUUGAGUAUGCGGAGUGAAUGAAAUUUAUUGGGUUAAUCUAACAAGACAGUCAGUGGAUACAAGAUCGUAAGUACAAAGCAGUAUUGAAGGUUAACAGUUUGGGUUGUACGGGGUUCUCUGUAACGUCUAGAGACCUACCGGCUGGGGCAAAAAGGACUCCGACAAGCAGUCGAAGAGCACCCGUAUAGAUUUACGUACCAUUUCUGCCAUUCGUUUAUAUUCCAGCAGUCAAAAACUGAUAGACUGCUUGANNNNNNNNNNNNNNNNNNNNNNNNNNNNNNNNNNNNNNNNNNNNNNNNNNNNNNNNNNNNNNNNNNNNNNNNNNNNNNNNNNNNNNNNNNNNNNNNNNNNNNNNNNNNNNNNNNNNNNNNNNNNNNNNNNNNNNNNNNNNNNNNNNNNNNNNNNNNNNNNNNNNNNNNNNNNNNNNNNNNNNNNNNNNNNNNNNNNNNNNNNUCCAUUUCGCUCCUCGAACCCGUCUUGUGAAUUGGUCCUUCUCUUCCUGCUGACUCCCAUUAUUGGGAUCAAAUGGAGCAUGUCAGUAUGCCCCGGCUGACUGUAACGGAGUGACUGAACCUGACCACUAAGUAUUUGUACUGGAGUUGGUCGAUGCUCCCAAUAUUCGAGGUAAUUGAAUAGUCAAGGAGUCUAUCAGUUUUUGACUGCUGGAAUAUAAACGACUGCAACAAUGUACCGUAAAUCUAUACGGGUGCUCUUCGACUGCUUGUCGAAGUCUUUUUUUUUUUUUUAUUGCCCCAGCCGGUAGGUCUUUAGACGUUACAGAGAACCCCGAACAAUCCAAACUUUUAAUCUUCAAUAUCCCUUUGUACUUACGAUCUUGUAUCCACUGUCCUGUUAGAUUAACAUAAUAAAUUUCAUUCACUCCGCAUACUCAAUCCUAUAGACACCCUUUUAAUCCUUCAAUCACAGACGUAACUCGAUUUUACAAAACAGUCAAGAGUAUUCAAACCCACUUCAUUUAAAAAUCCUGAUUCACCAUUACAACACUGACUUCAGCAACGAUUAUCUCAAUCUUCUCAAAACUCUACGAAGAAGAAAAAUCCAAAUUCUAUGUCUUUCUUUUCCUGACACGAAGCAUGAAGCUCCUCUCUCUAAUUUCCUUGAUCUUCAAAACCCUCCAAUGAAACCGAACUGGUAACCUUGCAAAAGCUUGAAAACUAGCUCCCCCUUGAUUCCCCCAAAAAAAAACCUCCCUCCCUAAAACUAUAUUCUCCCCUAACCUUAUCCUCUGAAUUUCUUCAAUCUUCCAUCUUAGAUCCGAAAUUGGCUCCCGCCGUCAAAGCUUAGAUCCGAAAUUGGCUCACGUCAUCAAGGCCUUUUCCUCCGUUUUUACCUUUAAGAGAUCCAUUUACCAUAAACAACGUUCCCUGAAACGGCACAGAGAACAGGACAGCCCGAAACAAAAUCGAAACCCCGUAAUCGGGACCACAUUGAGUCGCCCGACCAAUUAAGGUCCUAUAUUGGGAAAGAUGCCCGUAGUAACCUGGAUGUUCCCGUAAUUAGACUGCAUUGGGUUGACCGGCCAAUUUAGGUCUCAUAUUGGAUAAGAGGACCUGGAUUGGAUUAUCGAAAUUGGAUCCAAUUGGCUCCUCGAAUCCGUCGUGUGAAUUGGUCCUUCUCUUCCUGCUGACUCCCGUUAUUGGAAUCAAACGGAGCAUUUCAGUAUGCCCCGGCUGACUGUAACGGAGUGACUGAACCUGACCACUCAGUAUUUGUACUGGAGUUGGUCGAUGCUCCCAAUAUUCGAGGUAACUGAAUAUUAAUAAAAUUCCCCUUUCUUUUUAUUUUCACUGUAUACUCGUGUUACAACACGACAACGUUUUAAACCCCUAACUGAGCAAGAAAAGAUUCGUCGUCGUCAAGAAGGAUUAUGUUUAUAUUGCGGAGAACCUAAGCACACUACUCAACAUUUUCCAAAGAAAUGACGCAACUAUAAAAUGAGGGGUACGACGGUCAAAGAAGACAACAUGUCGGAAAACGGAUUCGUCCAGCUACAAUAGGGACCGUGCAGCUGGAACCUUGUACAAUUCCUAAUGAAGGUCCUAUCCUCUCCUCAGAACCCUCUCCUUGUUUUAUAAUAGACUUAUAUUUAGGACCUAAGAAUUACAAAGCCUCUGCUUUAUUAGAUUCGGGAGCCUCAGCAUAUUUUUUAGAUGAACAAUUUGUUAAAAGUCGUAAAAUACCUUUUAUACAGAAAUCUAAACCAGUACAUGUAGAAGUCAUAGAUGGUCGUCCCUUGUCUUCUGGAGAUGUCACUCAUGAAACUCAUCCUAUAAAAGUAACAAUAGACGGUCAUGAUAGCUACAUAGCUUUUAACAUAAUUAAAUCCCCGUUCAAUCCAGUUAUUUUAGGUUUAUCAUGGCUAGAAAAAUAUAACCCUCGAAUAGAUUGGAAUUCACAUAAACUUGACUUUUCCUAGAGCGUUAUUAAUAGUUCUACUAACCAAGUAAAAAAUUAUAAGUCUAGUACAGUAAAACCCGUACUGAUAGGUGCAAAAGCAUUUAUACACGCAGCAAAAGAAGGAUCAACUUUUGCUAUUUAUGCUGCACCUAUUUCUGAAAACGUAAAGACUUCAAGUGGCAUUCCAAGUCAAUAUCAGGAGUAUCAAGACGUUUUUGAGAAAAAAAAUGCAAAUAUUCUUCCUGAGCAUCGUCCAUAUGAUUGUUCAAUCGACCUCAAGGAAGGAACUCAGCCACCAUUUGGACCAAUUUACAGUUUAUCGCAAGAUGAGAUGGUUGAACUCAAGACAUAUAUUGACGAGAAUUUAGCGAAGAAUUUCAUAUGCCAUUCAAAAUCUCCAGCAAGAGCUCCAAUUCUAUUCGUAAAGAAAAAAGAUGGAUCUUUAUGAAUGUGUGUUGAUUAUCGAGGACCCAAUAAGAUCACAAUCAAGAACAGGUAUCCAUUACCUUUGAUAUCAGGACUCCUUGACCAGUUGAAUCAAGCUAAGAUCUAUACAAAAAUAGAUCUAUGAGGAGCAUAUAAUCUAGUACGGAUCAAAGAAGGAGAUGAAUGGAAGACUGCGUUUUGAACCAAGUAUGGACAUUUCGAAUAUAAUGUCAUGCCCUUUGGACUCACGAAUGCACCAGCUGCUUUCUAACAUCUCAUGAAUGAUGUAUUUUAUGAAUUCUUAGACAAUUUUGUCGUCUGCUAUCUAGAUGAUAUCCUAAUCUAUUCUAAGAAUGUCGAAGAACAUGAAAUACAUGUUUGUCAAGUAUUACAAAAACUUAGAGAUGCAGGAUUGUACGCCAAGAUGGAAAAGUGUGUAUUUCACACUACUCAAGUUGACUUUUUAGGAUACAUCAUUUCAAAUGAUGGUCUCAUGAUGGAUUCUAAGAAAGUCCAAACAAUCAUGGAUUGGAAGAUUCCAAGGAUAGUAAGAGAUGUCCAAUGUUUCUUGGGAUUUGCCAAUUACUAUCGGAUCUUCAUCAAAGACUUUUCACGAGUUGCAGCUCCACUUACACGCUUGACCAAUAAAGACAAAUUUCAAUGGAAUCAAGAAGCGGAAGCAGCAUUUGAAGCCUUGAAGACAUCGUUUGUAUCUGCACCAGUCUUAUAUCAUGUUGACUUUUCCAAGGCAUUUUUUAUGGAAACAGACACAUCGAAUUUUGCCUUGGGUGCAGUUUUAUCACAAAUGGGAACAGAUGACAAACUUCAUCCGAUAGCUUUUCAUUCAAGAAAAUUCUCAGCAGCCGAGAUCAAUUAUGAGAUCCACGAUAAAGAACUUCUUGCGAUCGUGGAUUCCUUUUAAGAAUGGCGUCAUUAUCUAGAAGACGCUUCUAGUCCAGUCACUGUGUAUACAGAUCACAAGAACCUCGAGUAUUUCAUGUCAGCACGCAUGUUGAAUCGUCGUCAAGCUCGUUGGAGUAUGUCUUUGUCAAGAUUCGAGUUCAUUAUCACUUAUCGGCCAAGAAAACAACAAGGUUUAUCCGAUGCCCUAUCUAGACGUUCUUAUUUUGUACCAAAAGAAGGAGAUGCAGCUUUUGAGCAACAAAGAACGGUCCUCUUGAAACCGGAGCAAUUUCAUCUCCGAGCAAUGAAAUCAACAUUGACUGUUGAUUCAACUUUUCUCAAGCAAAUCCAGUCCAGUAUGUCCUCAGACCCUCUUGUUCAUGAUAUCGAGAAUAAUUCUUCUAAGUCUCAUGAUCUUUCUAAGUUCGAGUUCAAGAAUAAUCUAUUAUAUUUUGAAGGAUGCCUAUAUGUUCCAGAAGGAGAAGCACGUUUACGUGUUCUUCAAGCACGUCAUGACUUUCCAGCAGCAGGGCACUUUGGAUAUAAUAAGACUUUGGAACUCAUAUCAAGAGAUUUUUGGUGGCCACAAAUGUGGAAGUCAGUCAAAGACUUUGUACAAUCAUAUGAUAUUUGUUCAAGAUCAAAAAUUCCUCGUCAUCGACCUUACGGACUUCUUCAGCCAUUACCUAUACCAGAACAACCAUGGUCUUCUGUUUCUAUGGAUUUCAUCACAGAUCUUCCAAGCUCAAGAUCUUAUGAUUCUAUAUUUGUGAUAGUAGAUCGUUUCACCAAGAUGGCACAUUUUGUGCCAUGUACAAAAUCUAUCACAAGUGAAGAAACAGCUAAGCUUUUCAUUGAUAAUAUCUAUUGCUAUCAUGGAUUACCUAAAGAUAUCAUAUCGGAUAGGAGAACUCAAUUUGUGUCAAGAUUUUGGAGGACCCUUUUCAAGAUUUUAAAAGUGGACAUAAAGCUAUCUUCGGCUUUCCAUCCUCAAACUGAUGGACAAAUAGAGCACGUAAACUAAGUCUUGGAGCAAUAUUUAAGGUGUACUAUCAACUACCAACAAGAUGAUUGGACAACCCUUCUGCCAUUGGCACAGUUUGCUUAUAAUAAUACGGUACAUUCUUCCACGCAACAAACACCUUUCUUUGCCAAUUAUGGCUAUCAUCCACGACUUGAUACUUUUGAUUUUUCAAAAGUUGAUAAUCCUGCAGCACAAGAUAUGGCAAAUCGGUUGUCAGAGUUACAUGCAAUAAUGAAGACGCAAUUGAAAGAAGCUCAAGAACGACAAAAGAUAAACGCAGAUCUAUAUCGUAAGGAGCAACUACAACUCAAUGUGGGUGAUAAGGUAUGGCUACUUCGUCGCAAUAUCAAGACUACUUGACCUUGUGACAAGUUGGACUAUCGUAGGCUUGGCCCUUUUUCUGUUUCUGAACAGAUCAACCCAAUUGCAUAUCUGUUACAUCUACCGGAGUCAAUGAAGAUCCAUCCUGUAUUCCACAUGUCUCUUCUUGAACCAUAUAAGACAGUGGAUAUACAAGGAAGAAGACAAAUGCCACCACCUCCUAUAGAAGUAGAUAAUAAUGAAGAAUUUGAGGUGGAAGAGAUAUUAGACUCAAGGCGGCGCCGAAAUAAGUUGGAAUAUCUUGUUCAUUAGCGCGGAUAUGAUAUUAGUGAACGCACAUGGGAGCCAUCCAGGAAUCUAGCAAAUGCAUUAGCUAAAGUCAAAGUUUUUCAUCAACGACAUCCAUCGAAACCAAGAUGAAAAUCUCUCUUAUAAAAGAGACAAAAUUGAGGCAAGAUAACAUUCAAUUUCCUAUCCUUGUUUGUAACUUCUUUGCAUUUGUGACACUAAUUAGAUGUAGAGCCAACAACCAGCGGAUUCAACUCAAGAACCUUCGUUUGCUGACCUGCCGGACGAGACAUUACGAUUGUCACAACCUUCAAGACGACGCAAUCGAGAUGAAGAUCUUCAAGAACGACAUGUUCUUCCUCGAAUAGAUGGUGAGAUACAACGCGUUUGGUAUCACGAUUUGGGAAGGGACUCCCGAUGUUUGGUGAUUUUGCUAGAGGUAGGAACAACUCCUGAUGGUGUUCCAAAUAUUCUAUUCGAAGGAAGUUACGAAGGCCUCAACAAUGAUCAAAUAACUGGGUGGUCUUCCCGCCCUGGUAUGGGACACUACCGAUGGUUGAGAGGCCCUAUCAAUCAUCUUCGAAGAGAACAGAGAUCAGAGUAUGUGGCGAAUACAAUUCGUCGCAUCAUAGAUUUCCUCAACAUAUGAUGACCACUCCUUGUGGAACUCGUCUCUCGAAGGGGGGGUAAUGUCACGGCCAUAAUCAUGUAAGCUAAUAAUUACAUAUAGAAAUAAGUAGAAGUAAGUAAAAAUAGAUAAAAGUAAGUUAAUUCUAUAAUAUUUAAUAUAGAAGCUUUCUAGAAACUUCCUAGACGUUGCUUUGACUUCAUAGGUGUCUUUAAUUGACUUUUUGGAUUAGAAACGUGGUCAACAAGUUGGCCAUGUGCCACACAUGUUGUUAGCUUGAAGAUCAAGCUAACUAUGUGGCCUACACGUAAAAAAACUUGCCUUAUAAGUCAAGGCAUGUGUCCUACAAAGUCAACACAUAUUGGAGGUCCUAUAGAACGUCGCCACAUAGCCCCUAGUUAGAUAGUAUAUAUAGAGACAAGAGUGAAGGCUUCUUCACUCUUGUCAACUCCUUUCUUGCUUCUAGUCUAGGUUCAAGAGUCUUUAGUUUCUUGUCUUGUGGCAAUAGCCAUUCUAGUUUCCUUUUAAUAUACCUACUUAUUUAUAUUUUGACUUAUUAUAUCGAGAUAGCCUUUUGUGUAUAUUUUCCCUCAUCGAGUCUUUAUCCUUGAUAAACUAUAACCAAAUCCUAAUCCAAAUCCUAAUCCAAAUCCUAAAUCAAACCCUAACCAAAUCCUGAACCGUAAUCCAAAUCCUAAAUCAAACCCUAACCAAAUCCUGAACCGUAAUCCAAACCCUAAAUCAAACCUUAAAUCAAAUCCUAACCAAAUCCUAAUCCAAAUCCUAAUCCAA
rnacentral:lncRNA from 1 species